AUUGAACGCUGGCGGCAGGCCUAACACACGCAAGUCGAGCGGAUGAAGGGAGCUUGCUCCUGGAUUCAGCGGCGGACGGGUGAGUAAUGCCUAGGAAUCUGCCUGGUAGUGGGGGAUAACGUCCGGAAACGGGCGCUAAUACCGCAUACGUCCUGAGGGAGAAAGUGGGGGAUCUUCGGACCUCACGCUAUCAGAUGAGCCUAGGUCGGAUUAGCUAGUUGGUGGGGUAAAGGCCUACCAAGGCGACGAUCCGUAACUGGUCUGAGAGGAUGAUCAGUCGCACUGGAACUGAGACACGGUCCAGACUCCUACGGGAGGCAGCAGUGGGGAAUAUUGGACAAUGGGCGAAAGCCUGAUCCAGCCAUGCCGCGUGUGUGAAGAAGGUCUUCGGAUUGUAAAGCACUUUAAGUUGGGAGGAAGGGCAGUAAGUUAAUACCUUGCUGUUUUGACGUUACCAACAGAAUAAGCACCGGCUAACUUCGUG
rnacentral:rRNA from 1 species